UGAGGCGGAGCAAAUCACAAAAGAACAGUCUCAGUUCAGAUUGUAGGCUGAAACUCGCCUAUAUGAAGUCGGAAUUGCUAGUAAUCGCGGAUCAGCAUGCCGCGGUGAAUACGUUCCCGGGCCUUGUACACACCGCCCGUCACACCAUGAGAGUUGGGAAUACCCGAAGCCCGUGAGCUAACCGAAAGGGAGCAGCGGUCGAAGGUAGAAUCAAUGAUUGGGGUGAAGUCGUAACAAGGUAGC
rnacentral:rRNA from 1 species